GACGAACGCUGGCGGCGUGCUUAACACAUGCAAGUCGAACGGAAAGGCCCCUUUGGGGGUACUCGAGUGGCGAACGGGUGAGUAACACGUGAGUAACCUGCCCUUGACUUCGGGAUAACUUCAGGAAACUGGGGCUAAUACCGGAUAGGAAUACUUGCUGCAUGGUGGGGGUUGGAAAGCUUCGGCGGUUUUGGAUGGACUCGCGGCUUAUCAGCUUGUUGGUGGGGUAGUGGCUUACCAAGGCUUUGACGGGUAGCCGGCCUGAGAGGGCGACCGGCCACAUUGGGACUGAGAUACGGCCCAGACUCCUACGGGAGGCAGCAGUGGGGAAUAUUGCACAAUGGGCGGAAGCCUGAUGCAGCAACGCCGCGGGCGGGAUGACGGCCUUCGGGUUGUAAACCGCUUUCAGCAGGGGCGAAGCUUGUGGUGACGGUACCUGCAGAAGAAGCACCGGCUAACUACGUG
rnacentral:rRNA from 1 species